rnacentral:lncRNA from 1 species
CAAGAUUAUGAAAAUUUCAGCCAAUCAAAUAGUUAAGAAAAUAUAACUUUCAAAUGCAAAAUUACGUUGUCAAAGGGGAUAUCAUCAAAAUACCUUGACUGCGAUAAAUAGACGAACUAGAACUUAAUUGACUCCAUUUAUCUAUUUUAGUUUGUCUAAGUUGUUUUCAAUUUAACACUAUAAAUUGAUAAAUUAUAUUAUUUAUUAAAUAAUUAGCAGAAAAUAAUAAGAACUAGCACUCAUUAGAGACAUGAAAAAGCUCAAAAAAUGGAGCGCUAUAUGAAAACAGAUGUAUAUCACAAAGACGAUGAACAAGCAGAGAAGGAAUUAUGAACAAAAUAAAGGAAGUAACAUCUUAAAAAUGAAUCAAAUAAAUCCUAAUGUUUUUCACUUCUAAUAUCUUUCCCAAUGUAUAGCUCAAAAGAAUCUUCAGUGACCUCACUACAUAAAAUAUUAUUGGGAAAAAAUUUAUGAAAUAUAUGGAAUUCUGUCAAAAAAUAUCAGGAAAAAUAACAGACCCAUACCACACAACAUCUCAUUUCAGCAUUAUACCAAACAUGCAAUCACCAAAAAUUUAAGAAUUUCAAAACAAAAAAAUCAACUUACCCAACAAAAGAGAUUGUCAACACCGAGAAGGACUUUACACGAUGAUAUUAUUGGAAAACAUACUUUCUACUCCUGUAGAUUUCAAAUAGGUUAGAGAAAUUAGAGGUAAAAUUGUUGAAAUUCUCACUCUCCCUAACUGCAUUUAACACCCAAAAGGGUUUGGGGUUUGCACACAUUACCUGAUUCAAAAAUACAAUCUGAGAUUACAACUUGUGUUAGGGCUUUUGGGUUUCAUACAUAAGGCUCACAUAUUGUGAUUAAACAAAAGUGAAAGAUUUAAUUUGAAAAAUUUGAAGAAGAAAUAGAGCUUUUGCAAGAGAAUCGAGAAGAGGGAAGAAGAAAGGCUUCGGUCUUUUCUUUUGUUCAGAGCUUA